GGAACUGUGGUGUAGUGGUUUGAGUGUUCGAUUACAACUCUGGAGACCAGGGUUCAAAUCCCCACUCAGCCA